GAGGGGGAAUCAUGAAGGAGGAGGGGCCUUAAGGAAGAAGAGGCUCAUGAAGAAGGACCCUGAGGCGAGAGAAUCCCUGCUCUGAGAUGCAGCUUGGUGUCCAAGUGAUGUUUGAAGGAAGUUCUUUACCAGCUUGAUACUGGAGACUGCUCCCUUCUUUAUGGCAAUGCCAACCACCAUCAGCUCCCCUGAACACUUAGGCAAAAGUCAACUUGAGUUGCACCCCUGCUGAAGAGGGGGUGCAGGAGCACGUCUGAGAGCUCAGCAGGCAGCCUGAGUCUCAUAGGCCAUAUGCUCGGACCUGGCUGCAGUGUGCGAGACCUGGAAAAUCACUGCUCUAAGUGGAUGCUUUGCUAUCGACUCUGCGGAGCCAGUGUUUUCCCCAUCAAUACCAACCGCAGCACCAUUAGCGGCAGAUGAUAACACACCCAGCAGAGCCUUGUGGCAGCAGGGGCAGCAGCCAAGCUCUCCCCUGGGAGAGUGUGGGUGUAAAUCCACGUAGCUACACGCACUGGAGCUGCUGUGUACAGCGCUGAGCUCAGGUUAAUAAGCCACACUUAUAAUGGCAA